UAACUAUGAUGAGAUUCCACUUCUAUGGUCCGUGUUUCUGAAUUCUGUGAUCUUAGUGGAAGUUCUGACGUU